CACUAUCCGACGAUUCUAUUUGUCUCAGCAGGUUCUGAGCUUCAUGUGUUAAAACCAGCUCUAUCAACUGGCCAAAAUACUGAGCAACAGUAGUGAGUGUUUCAUUAAUACAAGAUUUCAUAGACCUCAGCAUCUGUUCAUCCUCUAUUUGUAUGCACCUUUCUGUAAAUGCUGUAAAUUCUGAACACUUGUCUAUUAGAAGUUUUUCCAGCUGAUUCAUUUCUUCCGACGAACUCCUGGUAAAUGCAUUAUAUUCAUUUAUCAUGGAACGUACAUGGCAAUUGACUCUUACUGUCAUGCUGUGGACUCUUUGCCAUCUAUUCUUCUCCAACUUUUGAGCAAUCCUGGUCAACUCUGUGCUUAUUAUCCAUGCUCUUUUUAAUAACAGCUGUAAGUUAUCACUUGUGCUAUACUGUGAGGAAAGGAUGAGUUCAUUUUGUUCAUCCUUCUCAGCGCUGAUUGGUUUGGACUGGAGAAUACACAUGCAUUCACAGUCUGUCAUCAACUUCAAGUCUUCCAUCCACCGCUGAACAGAGUCCACCUGAAUUAAAUGCAUGCGCUGAACAGGUAAAGGAAGGGAAUCUAGG
rnacentral:lncRNA from 1 species